AACGAACGCUGGCGGCAUGCCUAACACAUGCAAGUCGAACGAGACCUUCGGGUCUAGUGGCGCACGGGUGCGUAACGCGUGGGAACCUGCCCUUAGGUUCGGAAUAACUCCCCGAAAGGGGUGCUAAUACCGGAUAAUGUCUUCGGACCAAAGAUUUAUCGCCUUUGGAUGGGCCCGCGUUGGAUUAGCUAGUUGGUAGGGUAAAAGCCUACCAAGGCGACGAUCCAUAGCUGGUCUGAGAGGAUGAUCAGCCACCCUGGGACUGAGACACGGCCCAGACUCCUACGGGAGGCAGCAGUGGGGAAUAUUGGACAAUGGGCGAAAGCCUGAUCCAGCAAUGCCGGGUGAGUGAUGAAGGCCUUAGGGUUGUAAAGCUCUUUUACCCGGGAUGAUAAUGACAGUACCGGGAGAAUAAGCCCCGGCUAACUCCGU
rnacentral:rRNA from 1 species